rnacentral:lncRNA from 1 species
CCUCUAUAAAUAGAAAGAGAUGUGCAUCUCCUAAAAUUAUUUUUAGUAUUUGGUAAAUAUGACCCCCAGUGGUCAUUGUUUGGUUUCCUUUUUUUCUUGGUUCCUAAUUAUUUCUUUUUUCAUUUUUCCAAAAAAUCAAGGGUUGUGAUAUGUUAGAGCUCUUAUACCUUCUAGAGUUAGCAUCUCCAAGAGUUUGCUAUUUUUUACUUGGCA